CCACCACUAAGCCAGUGGUGAACUCCACAUACGCAUCCUUUGCUGAGGAUACGGUUAACGGAGCGAAAGCGACGUUCAACCGCAAAACAAGCAGAGGGGGCUUAGUGGUGGGGUGACUGCGUACCUUUUGUAUAAUGGGUCAGCGACUUAUAUUCUGUAGCAAGGUUAACCGAAUAGGGGAGCCGGAGGGAAACCGAGUCUUAACCGGGCGUUAAGUUGCAGGGUAUAGACCCGAAACCCGGUGAUCUAGCCAUGGGCAGGUUGAAGGUUGGGUAACACUAACUGGAGGACCGAACCGACUAAUGUUGAAAAAUUAGCGGAUGACCUGUGGCUGGGGGUGAAAGGCCAAUCAAACCGGGAGAUAGCUGGUUCUCCCCGAAAGCUAUUUAGGUAGCGCCUCGUGAAUUCAUCUCCGGGGGUAGAGCACUGUUUCGGCUAGGGGGCCAUCCCGGCUUACCAACCCGAUGCAAACUGCGAAUACCGGAGAAUGUUAUCACGGGAGACACACGGCGGGUGCUAACGUCCGUCGUGAAGAGGGAAACAACCCAGACCGCCAGCUAAGGUCCCAAAGUCAUGGUUAAGUGGGAAACGAUGUGGGAAGGCCCAGACAGCCAGGAUGUUGGCUUAGAAGCAGCCAUCAUUUAAAGAAAGCGUAAUAGCUCACUGGUCGAGUCGGCCUGCGCGGAAGAUGUAACGGGGCUAAACCAUGCACCGAAGCUGCGGCAGCGACACUCAGGUGU
rnacentral:rRNA from 1 species